rnacentral:rRNA from 1 species
AUUGAACGCUGGCGGCAGGCUUAACCCAUGCAAGUCGAGCGGAGAUGAGGUGCUUGCACCUUAUCUUAGCGGCGGCCGGGUGAGUAAUGCUUAGGCAUCCGCCUAUUCGUGGGGGACAACAUUCCGACAUGAAUGCUAAUACCGCAUACGUCCUACGGUAGAAAGCAGGGGAUUUCCGGACCUUGCGCUAAUAGAUGAGCCCAAGUCGGAUUAGCUAGGUGGUGGGGUAAAGGCUUACCUAUGCGACGAUCUGGAGCGGUGCUGAGAGGAUGAUCCGCCACACUGGGACUGAGACACGGCCCAGACUGCUACGGGAGGCAGCAGUGGGGAAUAUUGGACAGUGGGGGGAACCCUGAUCCAGCCAUGCCGCGUGUGUGAAGAAGGCCUUAUGGUUGUAAAGCACUUUAAGCGAGGAGGAGGCUACUGAGACUAAUACCCUUGGAUAGUGGACGUUACUCGCAGAAUAAGCACCGGCUAACUCUGUGCCAGCAGCCGCCGUAAGAC